GACGAACGCUGGCGGCGUGCUUAACACAUGCAAGUCGAACGGAAAGGCCCUGCUUUUGUGGGGUGCUCGAGUGGCGAACGGGUGAGUAACACGUGAGUAACCUGCCCUUGACUUUGGGAUAACUUCAGGAAACUGGGGCUAAUACCGGAUAGGAGCUCCUGCUGCAUGGUGGGGGUCGGAAAGUUUCGGCGGUUGGGGAUGGACUCGCGGCUUAUCAGCUUGUUGGUGGGGUAGUGGCUUACCAAGGCUUUGACGGGUAGCCGGCCUGGGAGGGUGACCGGCCACAUUGGGACUGAGAGACGGCCCAGACUCCUACAGGAGACAGCAGUGGAGAAUAUUGCACAAUGGGCGGAAGCCUGAUGCAGCAACGCCGCGUGCGGGAUGACGGCCUUCGGGUUGUAAACCGCUUUCGCCUGUUACGAAGCGUGAGUGACGGUAAUGGGUAAAGAAGCACCGGCUAACUACGUG
rnacentral:rRNA from 1 species